rnacentral:rRNA from 1 species
GCUGCGGUAAUACGGAGGGUGCUAGCGUUAAUCGGAUUUAUUGGGCGUAAAGGGCGUGUAGGCGGAAAGGAAAGUUAGAUGUUAAAUCUUGGGGCUCAACCCCAAGCCAGCAUCUAAUACUAUCUUUCUAGAGGGUAGAUGGAGAAAAGGGAAUUCCACGUGUAGCGGUGAAAUGCGUAGAUAUGUGGAAGAACACCAGUGGCGAAGGCGCUUUUCUAAUUUACACCUGACGCUAAGGCGCGAAAGCAAGGGGAGCAAACAGGAUUAGAUACCCUGGUAGUCCUUGCCGUAAACGAUGCAUACUUGAUGUGGAUAGUCUCAACCCUAUCCGUGUCGUAGCUAACGCGUUAAGUAUGCCGCCUGAGGAGUACACUCGCAAGGGUGAAACUCAAAAGAAUUGACGGGGGCCCGCACAAGCAGUGGAGCAUGUGGUUUAAUUCGAUGCAACGCGAAGAACCUUACCUGGGCUUGACAUGUAUUUGACCGCGGCAGAAAUGUCGUUUUCCGCAAGGACAGAUACACAGGUGCUGCAUGGCUGUCGUCAGCUCGUGCCGUGAGGUGUUGGGUUAAGUCCCGCAACGAGCGCAACCCUUAUCGUUAGUUGCCAACACUUAGGGUGGGAACUCUAACGAGACUGCCUGGGUUAACCAGGAGGAAGGCGAGGAUGACGUCAAGUCAGCAUGGCCCUUAUGCCCAGGGCUACACACGUGCUACAAUGGCCAGUACAGAAGGUAGCAAUAUCGCAAGAUGGAGCAAAUCCUCAAAGCUGGCCCCAGUUCGGAUUGUAGUCUGCAACUCGACUACAUGAAGUCGGAAUUGCUAGUAAUGGCGUGUCAGCUAUAACGCCGUGAAUACGUUCCCGGGCCUUGUACACACCGCCCGUCACAUCAUGGGA